rnacentral:rRNA from 1 species
GUAGGUGGCAAGCGUUGUCCGGGAAUUAUUGGGGCGUAAAGCGCGCGCAGGCGGUUCUUUAAGUCUGAUGUGAAAGCCCACGGGCUCAACCGUGGGAGGGUCAUUGGAAACUGGAGAACUUGAGUACAGAAGAGGAAAGCGGAAUUCCACGUGUAGCGGUGAAAUGCGUAGAGAUGUGGAGGAACACCAGUGGCGAAGGCGGCUUUCUGGUCUGUAACUGACGCUGAGGCGCGAAAGCGUGGGGAGCAAACAGGAUUAGAUACCCUGGUAGUCCACGCAGUAAACGAUGAGUGCUAAGUGUUAGGGGGUUUCCGCCCCUUAGUGCUGCAGCUAACGCAUUAAGCACUCCGCCUGGGGAGUACGGCCGCAAAGGCUGA